rnacentral:rRNA from 1 species
UACUGAAUACAUAGGUAUGCGAGGCGAACCUGGAGAACUGAAACAUCUAAGUACCCAGAGGAAAAGACAUCAACCGAGAUUCCGAAAGUAGUGGCGAGCGAAAUCGGAAGAGCCUUCUAGUGAUAGUCAGACGGUUAACAAAACGGAAUGGAAAGUCCGGCCAUAGUAGGUGAUAGCCCUGUAUGUGAAAACCGACUGGUGGUACUGAGCUAGAGAAAAGUAGGGCGGGGCACGAGAAACCCUGUCUGAAUAUGGGGGGACCAUCCUCCAAGGCUAAAUACUCAUCAUCGACCGAUAGUGAACCAGUACCGUGAGGGAAAGGCGAAAAGAACCCCGGGAGGGGAGUGAAAUAGAUCCUGAAACCGCAUGCUUACAAAAAGUAGGAGCCCGCAAGGGUGACUGCGUACCUUUUGUAUAAUGGGUCAGCGACUUACAUUCAGUGGCAAGGUUAACCGAAUAGGGGAGCCGUAGAGAAAUCGAGUCCGAAUAGGGCGUCCAGUCGCUGGGUGUAGACCCGAAACCAAGUGAUCUAUCCAUGGCCAGGAUGAAGGUGCCGUAACAGGUACUGGAGGUCCGAACCGACUAGUGUUGCAAAACUAGCGGAUGAGCUGUGGAUAGGGGUGAAAGGCUAAACAAACUUGGAAAUAGCUGGUUCUCUCCGAAAACUAUUUAGGUAGUGCCUCAAGUAUUACCUGCGGGGGUAGAGCACUGUUUAGGCUAGGGGGUCAUGGCGACUUACCAAACCUAUGCAAACUCCGAAUACCGCAGAGUACAGCUUGGGAGACAGAGCACCGGGUGCUAACGUCCGGACUCAAGAGGGAAACAACCCAGACCGCCAG